GAGGUUAAUUAAUCCAACGGCGGAAAAGUGGGGUCUUAUUAGUAUAAAACUGUCCGAACCCCUUCCCCCCCACUCCAUCGUCUCUUUCAGAAGAACCCUAGUUUAGCCGCCCCAAGCCCUCACCGUCGAUGGCGGCGCCGGCCUCCAAUCCAGACCAAAAUAACACCGUAGAAUCUCCUCUUCUCCCUCAUCUCGAAUCUGGCCAUAGCAUUCCUCGAAUCAUAACCAAACGGUUCGAAUGUUGAAUCGAAGUUUUCCGGCCAAAACCCAAAUUCGUCUAAACUUCCCCAAAAUUACACCACAUACUCCUCUCACCACCCUUUUCCUAAACCUUUGACUAAUUUCCUUCAAAUCCCACUGGACCGCCGCGAAUUUUGGAUCUAGGGUUUCUGUCAACGUUUCUGGAAUUUCUCGGGUUAGCCAAGUGCUCAUAUGGUUUCAAAUUGUAUUAUGUGAUUGUUCUUGGAAAGAACAAGCACAUAAUAUUGUUUGAAAACCAAGUGAGAAGUCAGUCGAGUCGAAGGUUUGAAAUCAGUGAGUUUCUCUCUUCGUUGUAUUUUUCGAAAUUGUCCUCUCUUCUUAACGAUUUUUUCAUUAAAUGAACUGGAUUCGAUGUUAUCCAUCUAGGGUUAGUAAUUGAAGUCUUUCUUAUUUGAUUGUUGUUCGAGUUCUGUUAGUUCUGUCAUUAGUAUAAGAAUUAGUUCUUGUUCAGUGUUUAAUUUAGUUUAAAUUUUGAUGUUUCGUUUCUUCAAGUUGAUUGAUGUUGCUUUAAAUUUCAUGUACAAUUGGAGUCUGUGAUGAUAGGUUUAAUUCUCGUUUUAGUUAGUUAAUUUCCUCACUUUUAUUUUGUUGCUAAGAAUAGUUCAUUAAUAGGUUUAACUUCAUAUUUAGCUUAAUAUGUCUAGCUAGUUUGAUUUUAGGUGAUUAUCUGCUUAUGAACAUUUGAUUUAGAGUUUGUUUAAUUAACAGGGCUGGGGGUAGGUUAAUGAUUUCAGGGUUAAGUUAAGGGUAAUUGGGGUAAUGCAAGGGUAGGGAAUCUUACAAGUGGAUGAAUAAGAACUCUCUAGAACAUUCUAUACGGGGUCUAAAACAGAUUUUCAGAAAGUUUUAGUGUAUUAGCUUGAGCAACAAGUUAGGAAAUGAGGGAGUAAUCAGCUAAAGAGUAAAAUAAAAGUGGGACUAAAACGAUAAAUUUGAAAUCUGAGGGUUGCCCUCAUUUGGGCCUAUAAAUGGUAGCAUAUCCGCCUUAAUUCAGAAGGGCUCCAGCCUCCAAAAUUUCCCCCAAAAACCAUUUCUGUAUAUCUGAGUUUCAAAUUUUGAAUUUCAAAUCCAAAUUCUAGAUCUAGGUCUUCAAAAAACCAAAAACAAUAGAAAAAAUUAGAGAAAAUCCAAAAAAAACUGUUUCAUUGAAAGUUUCAAGUUGAUUUUGAGCUUCAGUGUCUGAUUUGCAUCAUUUAGCAUAUAGUCUGUUUACUGAGACAUUCUGGAGGUUCCUGGGUGCAUGUCGGAUGGGUUUGGGUUCAAUUGAGGCCAUUUUAGGCUGGUUUUAUUGGCUGUUGAUUUCAGAAGUUGUCCUGGGUUUAACUCUGAGUCUGUUGGGAUUUUUCAAGUUUAUUUGGUUUACUAUUGGUAUUGUCCUUCUUUGAAUGCAAUUCUGGAUAGUGUUGAUCUGUUUGUUGAAGCUGUGAACUCAAAUUUUGAGCUGUUGUGUGACCUUUGGUGCUACUGACCUCCACUUCUUCUUCGUUUUUGUGUUCUAAAUAUCAGGUACAUGUUCUGAAACUCGAUACUAUGUAGAUCUCUAGGUGAAAUAAAAUGAAGAGGAAGCAUAUUUUGUUGAAAUUUCCAGUGGUUUCAAUGCUUUCAUUAUAGUUUUGUAAUGAUUUUGGAUUGUAUUAAACUGAUGAACUGUUAGGAUUGAGUUUGUUCAUGUGAACUAUUAGUUGUGUGUUUGUGCUUAUUGAAAUAAUUUAUGGCGUUAGUUAACUCUCACAGUUUCAAAAAUGGCACAAAUUAUGACUGAUUCUGGAAAUGCUAUUUGGACAAUCGCUAUUGGUACUAAUUAGAAUAUGCGGAUUGUGUUCAGAAGGGCAUGAGUAUUAAUUGUAAGAUUGUCUAGGUUCGAGUUGGAAGUGACGUUAUUUAAGGAGUUAAGUCACUGAUAUUGUUAGAUCUGUGCUGGUUUUGUAUUAACUGGGCUAAAUUGUUACUUCUCAGAUUCACAUGAGCUUUUUUGAGUUAAGUACUAA
rnacentral:lncRNA from 1 species